CAUCUCAGAAGCACAGACAUUAGGCUGACGUUGGAAUGAUAGGGACAUUAGCACGGCCCCUGGGUAAGGAUGGCAUGUAAACACGUGCAAUGUUCCACAUUUUU